CUCUUCUUGGGUUGGGGCUCCAAGGCUACAAGCUGUCAGGUGCCCCUAGUCCUGGUGAAAUCAAUGACAACUCAGGAGUCUAGGCCUGAUCCUGCCAGAAGAUUUAACAAGCAUCCUUGCCUAGGCUGUCAGCUCAGUGAAAGUGAGGUCAAUCUGACCACACUCUUCCUAAAGGAUCCUCUUCUGAACUAUCUGUCUGAGUAUACAUCUCCUGACAAAUCAAUGGCAGAAUCGAGAGGUAGGGAUGAAUAUCAGCCGGAAACAAAAGAACAAGUUAAUAAAGUGUCCUAACCAAUUUUUGCAUAGAAUAUAUAUUUUUAAGUUGUUCUGGAGACGAUCAGAAUUGGAUCUUAGCACAAGCAACCUCCAGCAGACUGCAAUGGCUCUGCCUUUAAUACACUUCCACCCCUGUGAGUUAUACAGCUGUAAUACUGAACACAUGAGGCAGACAGCUGCCCUGAGGCAUUCUCUGUAAAAACUUUCAUAUCACAACGGAACUGAACGCACCAUUAUAACACCACGUCUCCUCUUCUUCACACUCCUGCUUCCUCAUAACUGAGACCUGUGUAGUACAAAUGAAAGCAGUUUUCUGGAUGAAGCAACCUUUCCUCAGAGUCUUGGGCUCCACAUCCACUCCCUACCAGGACAGGUGCGUCCCACAUAGUUUGUGUCCAGCCUUCCUCUAUCAGGCAUGCUGUAACUUCUGCCGUUUUUUUUUUUUUUUUUUUUUUUUUCAGCCCACAGUAAGUCAACCUGGGCAUAGAUGAAG